UAAGGGCGCACGGUGGAUGCCUUGGCACUAGAAGCCGAUGAAGGACGUUACUAACGACGAUAUGCUUUGGGGAGCUGUAAGUAAGCUUUGAUCCAGAGAUUUCCGAAUGGGGAAACCCAGCAUGAGUUAUGUCAUGUUAUCGAUAUGUGAAUACAUAGCAUAUCAGAAGGCACACCCGGAGAACUGAAACAUCUUAGUACCCGGAGGAAGAGAAAGAAAAUUCGAUUCCCUUAGUAGCGGCGAGCGAAACGGGAAGAGCCCAAACCAACAAGCUUGCUUGUUGGGGUUGUAGGACACUCUAUACGGAGUUACAAAGGACGACAUUAGACGAAUCAUCUGGAAAGAUGAAUCAAAGAAGGUAAUAAUCCUGUAGUCGAAAAUGUUGUCUCUCUUGAGUGGAUCCUGAGUACGACGGAGCACGUGAAAUUCCGUCGGAAUCUGGGAGGACCAUCUCCUAAGGCUAAAUACUCUCUAGUGACCGAUAGUGAACCAGUACCGUGAGGGAAAGGUGAAAAGCACCCCGGAAGGGGAGUGAAAUAGAACCUGAAACCGUGUGCUUACAAGUAGUCAGAGCCCGUUAAUGGGUGAUGGCGUGCCUUUUGUAGAAUGAACCGGCGAGUUACGAUUUGAUGCAAGGUUAAGCAGUAAAUGUGGAGCCGUAGCGAAAGCGAGUCUGAAUAGGGCGUUUAGUAUUUGGUCGUAGACCCGAAACCAGGUGAUCUACCCUUGGUCAGGUUGAAGUUCAGGUAACACUGAAUGGAGGACCGAACCGACUUACGUUGAAAAGUGAGCGGAUGAACUGAGGGUAGCGGAGAAAUUCCAAUCGAACCUGGAGAUAGCUGGUUCUCUCCGAAAUAGCUUUAGGGCUAGCCUCAAGUGAUGAUUAUUGGAGGUAGAGCACUGUUUGGACGAGGGGCCCCUCUCGGGUUACCGAAUUCAGACAAACUCCGAAUGCCAAUUAAUUUAACUUGGGAGUCAGAACAUGGGUGAUAAGGUCCGUGUUCGAAAGGGAAACAGCCCAGACCACCAGCUAAGGUCCCAAAAUAUAUGUUAAGUGGAAAAGGAUGUGGCGUUGCCCAGACAACUAGGAUGUUGGCUUAGAAGCAGCCAUCAUUUAAAGAGUGCGUAAUAGCUCACUAGUCGAGUGACACUGCGCCGAAAAUGUACCGGGGCUAAACAUAUUACCGAAGCUGUGGAUUGUCCUUUGGACAAUGGUAGGAGAGCGUUCUAAGGGCGUUGAAGCAUGAUCGUAAGGACAUGUGGAGCGCUUAGAAGUGAGAAUGCCGGUGUGAGUAGCGAAAGACGGGUGAGAAUCCCGUCCACCGAUUGACUAAGGUUUCCAGAGGAAGGCUCGUCCGCUCUGGGUUAGUCGGGUCCUAAGCUGAGGCCGACAGGCGUAGGCGAUGGAUAACAGGUUGAUAUUCCUGUACCACCUAUAAUCGUUUUAAUCGAUGGGGGGACGCAGUAGGAUAGGCGAAGCGUGCGAUUGGAUUGCACGUCUAAGCAGUAAGGCUGAGUAUUAGGCAAAUCCGGUACUCAUUAAGGCUGAGCUGUGAUGGGGAGAAGACAUUGUGUCUUCGAGUCGUUGAUUUCACACUGCCGAGAAAAGCCUCUAGAUAGAAAAUAGGUGCCCGUACCGCAAACCGACACAGGUAGUCAAGAUGAGAAUUCUAAGGUGAGCGAGCGAACUCUCGUUAAGGAACUCGGCAAAAUGACCCCGUAACUUCGGGAGAAGGGGUGCUCUUUAGGGUUAACGCCCAGAAGAGCCGCAGUGAAUAGGCCCAAGCGACUGUUUAUCAAAAACACAGGUCUCUGCUAAACCGUAAGGUGAUGUAUAGGGGCUGACGCCUGCCCGGUGCUGGAAGGUUAAGAGGAGUGGUUA
rnacentral:rRNA from 1 species